UCUCUUCGGGGAGGCAGCACUGGGGAAUAUUGGACAAUGGGGGAAAACCUGAUCCAGCCAUACCGCGUGUGUGAAGAAGGCCUUUUGGUUGUAAAGCCCUUUUAGCGAGGAGGAGGCUACUAGUACUAAUACUACGGGAUAGUGGACGUUACUCGCAGAAUAAGCACCGGCUAACUUUGUGCCAGCAGCCGCGGUAAUACAGAGGGUGCGAGCGUUAAUUGGAUUUUCUGGGCGUAAAGCGUGCGUAGGUGGUUUUUUAAGUCGGAUGUGAAAUCCCCGGGCUUAACCUAGGAAUUGCAUUUGAUACUGGGAGACUAGAGUAUGGGAGAGGAUGGUAGAAUUUCAGGUGUAGCGGUGAAAUGCGUAGAGAUCUGGAGGAAUCCCGGUGGCGAAGGCAGCCAUCUGGCCUAAUACUGACACUGAGGCCCGAAAGCAUGGGGAGCAAACAGGAUUAGAUACCCUGGUAGUCCAUCCCGUAAACGAUGUCUACUAGCCGUUGGGGCCUUUGAGGCUUCAGUGGCGCAGUAACGCAUAAGUGACCCUCUACUCGACGCCC
rnacentral:rRNA from 1 species